UCAGUUCGGACUGGAGUCUGCAACCCGACUCCACGAAGCUGGAUUCGCUAGUAAUCGCGCAUCAGCCAUGGCGCGGUGAAUACGUUCCCGGGCCUUGUACACACCGCCCGUCAAGCCAUGAAAGCCGGGGGUGCCUGAAGUCCGUGACCGCGAGGGUCGGUCUAGGGUAAAACUGGUGAUUGGGGCUAAGUCGUAACAAGGUAGC
rnacentral:rRNA from 1 species